rnacentral:rRNA from 1 species
UGAUCCAGAGUACCACGGGACACGUGAAACCCUGUGGGAAGCAGGAGGGACCACCCUCCAAGGCUAAAUACUACCUAGUGACCGAUAGCGUAUAGUACCGUGAGGGAAAGGUGAAAAGAACCCCGGGAGGGGAGUGAAAUAGAACCUGAAACCCUGCACUUACAAGCUGUGGAAGCACAUUUCUUGUGUGACCGCGUACUUUUUGUAGAACGGGCCAACGAGUUACGUUAAGUAGCAAGGUUAAGCACUUAAGGUGCGGAGCCGUAGCGAAAGCGAGUUUUAACUGAGCGUUCAGUUACUUGACGUAGACCCGAAACCGGGCGACCUACCCAUGAGCAGGAUGAAGCGAAAGUAAAAUUUCGUGGAGGUCCGAACCCACGAGCGUUGAAAAGCUCGGGGAUGACUUGUGGGUAGCGGUGAAAUUCCAAUCGAGCCCGGAGAUAGCUGGUUCUCCCCGAAAUAGCUUUAGGGCUAGCCUCAAGGUGAGAGAUACGGAGGUAGAGCACUGAAUGUCCUAGGGGGUAUUGCACCUACCGAAGACUAUCAAACUCCGAAUGCCGUCAUCUUAUACUUGGGAGUCAGACUGUGGGUGAUAAGAUUCAUAGUCGAAAGGGCAACAGCCCAGAUCGUCAGCUAAGGUCCCUAAAUGUAAGUUAAGUGGUAAAGGAUGUGGGAUUGCACAGACAACCAGGAUGUUGGCUUAGAAGCAGCCACUCAUUCAAAGAGUGCGUAAUAGCUCACUGGUCGAGUGAUCCUGCGCCGAAGAUUUCCGGGGCUAAAACUUACUACCGAAGCUACGGCAUCAGUAAUGAUGGGUAGGGGAGCUUCCCAUACGGGUUGAAGCAUGACCGUAAGGACAUGUGGACAGUAUGGGAGUGAGAAUGUUGGCAUGAGUAGCGAGAUGUGGGUGAGAAUCCCACAGGCCGUAAACCCAAGGUUUCCAGGGGAAGGUUCGUCC